rnacentral:rRNA from 1 species
UACAGGGGGGGCAAGCGUUGUUCGGAAUUACUGGGCGUAAAGGGUCUGUAGGUGGCCAACUAAGUCAGACGUGAAAUCCCUCAGCUUAACUGGGGAACUGCGUCUGAUACUGGAUGGCUUGAGUGCAGGAGAGGAACGCGGAAUUCCAGGUGUAGCGGUGAAAUGCGUAGAUAUCUGGAGGAACACCGGUGGCGAAGGCGGCCUGCUGGGCAGUUGCUGACACUGAGGCGCGAAAGCGUGGGGAGCAAACAGG